rnacentral:rRNA from 1 species
CUGGCUCAGAAUGAACGCUGGCGGCAUGCCUAACACAUGCAAGUCGAACGAAGGCUUCGGCCUUAGUGGCGCACGGGUGCGUAACGCGUGGGAAUCUGCCCCUUGGUUCGGAAUAACAGUUAGGAAUGACUGCUAAUACCGGAUGAUGACGUAAGUCCAAAGAUUUAUCGCCGAGGGAUGAGCCCGCGUAGGAUUAGCUAGUUGGUGUGGUAAGAGCGCACCAAGGCGACGAUCCUUAGCUGGUCUGAGAGGAUGAUCAGCCACACUGGGACUGAGACACGGCCCAGACUCCUACGGGAGGCAGCAGUGGGGAAUAUUGGACAAUGGGCGAAAGCCUGAAUCCAGUAAUGCCGCGUGAGUGAUGAAGGCCUUAGGGUUGUAAAGCUCUUUUACCCGGGAUGAUAAUGACAGUACCGGGAGAAUAAGCUCCGGCUAACUCCGUGCCAGCCGCGGC